AGUAGAAUAGAGGACAUGGGAGAGGAAGGGUGUGUCCUUUCCCUUUCAAGGAGAUGUCUUAGGUCAGUUUCUCUAACAAGCAGACUCUUGGGCUAAGGAUUUGGGAGGAAGUGAUUUAUCAAGGAGGUGCUCCCAGAAGAGACUAGUAAGGGAGUGAGGAAAGUGUGGAUGGGAAAAGGGAAGAAGCCAAGUAGGGGGUUAUUUUAUGUUGCUCUGAAGCAGAAAUUACACCUUGGAAUUUGUCCCGCCUUGAGGCAAAGGUACCGGGAUUUUAUAUUCCCACACCAGU